rnacentral:rRNA from 1 species
UACGUAGGGUGCAAGCGUUGUCCGGAAUUAUUGGGCGUAAAGAGCUCGUAGGCGGUUUGUCGCGUCUGCUGUGAAAACCUGAGGCUCAACCUCAGACCUGCAGUGGGUACGGGCAAGCUAGAGUGCGGUAGGGGAGAUGGGAAUUUCUGGUGUAGCGGUGGAAUGCGCAGAUAUCAGAAGGAACACCAAUGGCGAAGGCACAUCUCUGGGCCGUAACUGACGCUGAGGAGCGAAAGCGUGGGGAGCGAACAGGAUUAGAUACCCUGGUAGUCCACGCCGUAAACGGUGGGUGCUAGUUGUGGGCUCCAUUCCACGGAGUCCGUGACGAAGUUAACACAUUAAGCACCCCGCCUGGGGAGUACGGUCGCAAGACUAAAACUCAAAGGAAUUGACGGGGGCCCGCACAAGCGGCGGAGCAUGCGGAUUAAUUCGAUGCAACGCGAAGAACCUUACCAAGGCUUGACAUAUAGAGGAAACGUGCAGAAAUGUACGCCCCGCAAGGUCUCUAUACAGGUGGUGCAUGGUUGUCGUCAGCUCGUGUCGUGAGAUGUUGGGUUAAGUCCCGCAACGAGCGCAACCCUCGUCCUAUGUUGCCAGCACGUUAUGGUGGGAACUCAUGGGAAACUGCCGGGGUCAACUCGGAGGAAGGUGGGGAUGACGUCAAAUCAUCAUGCCCCUUAUGUCUUGGGCUUCACGCAUGCUACAAUGGCCGGUACAGAGGGCUGCAAUACCGCAAGGUGGAGCGAAUCCCAAAAAGCCGGUCUCAGUUCGGAUUGAGGUCUGCAACUCGACCUCAUGAAGUCGGAGUCGCUAGUAAUCGCAGAUCAGCAACGCUGCGGUGAAUACGUUCCCGGGCCU